GGGCCGGAAAGGAACUUAACCCAUCGUUGCUGGGGGCUGUCGCUCCUUACCGGGCCGUCGCGCCUUACAAAGAGGAAUGAUUGUUGGUUUUUUUUUUUUUUAAUGAAUGGAGGGCGGCGGCAAGCAGCAGCUGCAGCUGGAUCAGCUGCGCGUGCUGUACCCCACCCGGCCUGGGAAAGAAGGGGAACCUGGCAGAGCUGGAUGUCCCUGCCUGUUGUUGUGGCUGUUACUGAUGGAUGAUGCAGAUGAUGAAGAUUUCACUUCAAGUCUCAACACGGUGUUCCAGCAUGGGAUGCAGCAAGGGUCAAACCCUGAUCACUUCUAAAGGCCCAGAAAAAAAAAAGAACAAGAAAGGAAGAAGACAAUGUACUCAAAAUCACCGAGUGGAAGAGAACACAUCGCUGAGCCUUUUAAGAAGUGAUUAUUCUUAGGGUGAGAUUCAAAGGAGAAGGCAGUCAAGUGCCCACACAGGGAUUCCAUUGUGGGAACUUUGAGUCAUUGGGAGAUGACUCUUAGGCAUUUUUGCCGUAGCUCAGAUGCCAGCAAUGAAAGAGUAUGAUGUAGGCUUUAAGAGUGAGGGAAUGGAUGAUGUGUUUUGGAAGAAAUAUUUGGAAAAAAAAGAAAUGAGAACUCCCGGCUUGAUUUGGCAAGGAGAAUGCUAAGCAAGCCAAGCAUUACAUGUUAUUCAGAAAUGAAAUGGCUGCUUGAGAAGCCAUAAUAAGAAUAGUUGACAUUUAUAGUGUUUUUUAAAGCUUACAAAGUUCUUUACAUGCAUUAUCUUACUUGACUCUCAAAACAACUCUGUGAAAUAGGUACUAUGUGAAGAGCUAUAAGUAACUUGGGGCAACCAAGGCUUUGUUCCAGGGCGUCAACACAGAGAAGGAGGGGUGCUGCUUUCCUGGGAGGGUAGGCUUCUUUUCAAAGGCAACCACAUCAGUGCACUUCACUCAACUUCAUGUACUUUAUAGGUCCACAUGCUACCCUGAAUAACAGCUUCUAAGCUAGCACUGUGGGUCCCAUUACCAUGACAUUUCUCUCUCAUGACCCACCUUCCUCCCCAUCUCCAAAGGGGAUACAAGCUAGAUUUUCUGGUGGGUGGGCUAUACCCUCACCAGGCAUGAAAGAAAUGAUCAGACCAUGCUCUGGAUUCUCACUAUUAUCCCCUGACACCCCUUUUCCCCAUCUGAAUUGGUCCUAAGUACAAAGUUUUGUCUCUGGCUUCUUGGGUUAUUAUCCGCAUUUUAUAGAUGAGAAAACAGAGAUAGAAGUAGAGUGAUUUGAACAUCAACAGACAGCUAACAGGUAUCAAUCAGAAGGAGGAUUUGAACCCAGGUUUUUGCUGGCUUGGGCUAGUGCUCUUUCCAUUACAUGCCCUUCUCUGAAAUGAUAAGCAUGACCAUAUGGCUGACAAGACAGUAAUGCUUAGGGUUAAUAAGUGAGACAUUGGGCAGAUUCAAGGAACAAAUGUGAAUGGGAGAUAGAAGAAGAGAAUGAAAUCAACCAUCUGGUUUUUAUCCAGGAAAAGAGGAAAAUACAGUAAUGUAGUUAUAUAGCAGCUCAGGAUGGGAUACUUUGUGCUUUAGGUGUGGGGAAGGAGGUCUUAAUUAUUAGUGCCAAGGUUGAAAGAGACCUUAGGAAAAAAAAGAAAGAAAGAGACCUUGGAAUAUGUUAGACCUAAAAAGUACAAGUACAAUUUCUGAUUUAAAAUUAUUUAUUUGUUUGCUUGUUACAUGAACAUUUCCAGAUAUAUCCCUUCCUCCCCUCCCUGCACUAGAGAAGGCAUCAUUUGACAAAAGAAUAUAUUGUUUAUAAAACUAUGUCUUGCUUGCUUCUAUUUAUCAGUUCUCUGAAAUUGGACAUACACAGGUUAUUCCUUUUCUUUUUUUCUUUAACCCUUACUUUCUGUCUUAAGUAAUACUCUAAGACAGAAGAGCAAGGGCUAGACAAACUGGGGUAUUGACUUGUCCAGGGUCACACAACUUGGGAGUUAUCUGAGGCCACAUUUGCACCCAGGUGCUCUCAACUCCAGACCUGGAGCUCCUAUUUACCGUAUCAACUACCUGCCCCACAAGUUAUUCUUCAAACAAUAUUUCUGUUGCUGUAUAUAAUGUUUUCUCAUUUCUGUUGAAUUUUAUAUCUUUAUAUCCUCUCUCCUCUCUGUAAUCUCAGCAUGGUGAGUCUUAGAACCUCACUGGGCUAGUAUUAGGGAGAAGAGAUGAACUGGGGAGUGGAAGAGUUAAAAACAAGAACAAGAAGAGAGUAGAAGAAUCAGGUUAAGAUCAGAUGGAAGUAUGAGUAUAUUAAUUCAUUUGUGCAAUUGUGAAUUGGUUGAUCCCUUCCAGAAAACAAUUUGGAAUUAUGUGAGAAAAAUGACCAAAAUGUCCAAACACAUUGAUCUAGCAAUGCCGCUGUGGUUUUCUACCCCUAAGAAGGCAGUAUCAUACAGAAAAAAAAGCCGUAUGUGCCCAAAUAUAGGUAGCAGAUUUAUAGAAUAAGAAAAAAAGGGACUAUGUGCAAACAGUGGGGGAAUGGCUAACCAACAUGAAGAAGUCAGACAAACAUGGUAAGAUUUGUAUGAACUGAUACAGAGUGAUGAAGGUGGAGCCAAAAGAAGAGUAUGCACAGUGAUGACAAUGAGGUAAAUGAAGGUAAUGCCAAGAAAGUUAAUGGAGCUUAAGUCAAUAGUGUUGAUUCCAAGUUAUGAGAGAAAAAGUACUUGGAUAAAAAAAAAUUCUCAAUUAAAAGAAUGGAAAUUUUACAUUUAAAUGGAAAACUUUUAAAUGAUUUUGCUUCAUUUUUUAAAAAACCUUUACUUUCUGUCUUAGAAUCAAUACUAUAUAUUGGUUCCAAGGCAGAAAAAUGCUAAGGGCAAGGCAAUGGAGGUUAAAAGACUUGCCCAGGGUCACACUGCUAGGAAGUGCCUGAGGUCAGAUUUAAGCCCUAGAAACAGCCCUCCUCCCCCAAGCUCUAGACCUGCUCUCAAUUCACUGAGCCACUGAACUGCCCCCUGCUUCAUUUUUAAUGGAAAGGUAUGUUGGGAAAUGACUGAUAUGUUCAAAGAUAAACAUUUUGAUAUAAUUUACUAUAUACUUAAUUAUAGUUUAAUAUAAAUAAAUAUUCAAUUAUAUAUUUUAUAUAUGUUAUA
rnacentral:lncRNA from 1 species